AAUUCUGAACACCUUCAGCAUACAUUUUUUCUUUCCUUAUUAAGUCAAGAAUUUUCACCUUUUUACAUACAGGAAGCAUUUUAUGGCUUCUCUCUGGCAUGUCUAAAUUGCCAGUACCACUACUCUUGUACUUUGGGGCCAUUAUUUAGUAAAAUAAGUGUUACUUGGACACAAGCACUGCUUGUGUAGUGUUAGCUCUCUAUUCCA